rnacentral:rRNA from 1 species
AUUGAACGCUGGCGGCAGGCUUAACACAUGCAAGUCGAGCGAGCGGCGGACGGGUGAGUAAUGUCUGGGAAACUGCCUGAUGGAGGGGGAUAACUACUGGAAACGGUAGCUAAUACCGCAUACCAUCAGAUGUGCCCAGAUGGGAUUAGCUAGUAGGUGGGGUAAUGGCUCACCAAGGCGACGAUCCCUAGCUGGUCUGAGAGGAUGACCAGCCACACUGGAACUGAUGCACGGUCCAGACUCCGACGGGAGGCAGCAGUGGGGAAUAUUGCACAAGGGGCGCAAGCCGUAUGCAGCCAUGCCGCGUGUAUGAAGAAGGCCUGCGGGUUGUAAAGUACGUUCAGCGGGGAGGCGUUACUCGCAGAAGAAGCACCGGCUAACUCCGUGCCAGCAGCCGCGGUAAUAC